GACGACCGCUGGCGGCGCGCAUAACACAUGCAAGUCGAACGGUAAGGCACUUCGGGGUACACGAGUGGCGAACGGGUGAGUAACACGGGGGAGAACUGCCCUGCACAUCGGGUUAAGCCUGGGUAACUGGGUCUAAUACCGGAGAGGCCCCUGGGAUGCAUGUCCUGGGGUGAGAAGCAUUUGCGGUGUGGGAUGGGCCCGCGGCCUAUCAGCUUGUUGGUGGGGUGAUGGCAUACCAAGGCGACGAAGGGUAGCCGGCCGGAGGAGGUGACCGGCUACACUGGGACUGUGAUACGGCCCAGGCUCCUUCGGGAGGCAGCAGUGGGGAAUAUUGCACAAUGGGCGCAAGCCUGAUGCAGCGACGCCGCGUGAGGGAUGACGGCCUUCGGGUUGUAAACCUCUUUCAGCACCGUCGAAGCGCAAGUGACGGUAGGUGCAGAAGAAGGAACGGCCAACUACGUGCCAGCAGCCGCGGUAA
rnacentral:rRNA from 1 species